rnacentral:tRNA from 1 species
ACUAAAAUGGCGGAGGUUGUACGCGUAAAAUCUAAGAUUUUAUUUACGAAAUAAUUGAAAAUUUCUUUUAGUA